rnacentral:rRNA from 1 species
UACGUAGGGGGCAAGCGUUGUCCGGAAUCACUGGGCGUAAAGGGCGCGUAGGCGGCUCACUAAGGCUGUGGUGAAAGUCCGGGGCUCAACCUCGGAUCGGCCGUGGCGACUCGUGGGCUGGAGCACUGUAGAGGCGGGUGGAAUUCCGGGUGUAGCGGUGGAAUGCGUAGAGAUCCGGAAGAACACCAGUGGCGAAGGCGGCCCGCUGGGCAGUGGCUGACGCUGAGGAGCGACAGCGUGGGGAGCAAACAGG